UAUCAGGGAAGCCCUAAUAAGAGGUCCAAGAGAAAUUUAUUCGGGUCAACUGAUACCAUGCCACGUACUAAAUCGUUAAUGGUUUUCAGGUAAAAAAUAACCAUGGGAAUAUGGGGUCGCAUAAAUAGAUGUCACUGGUGGAAAAUAAGAAGGUGAUAUGGUAUUUUUCUUUUCUACUGUCUGAUUUUUAAAGAUUUGGUGAGGAACAUCCAAUCUGUCGAUCGCGGUCGCUAACCAAUUGUUAGAAAAACAGCACCAAUAAUGGUCGAACUCGGAUGUGCUUUAUUCGAGAUUUUAACACAAAUUGCAUUUUAUACAUAAAAAAAUUUAUCAGGAAGCUACAAUGUUACAGCAUUACCCGUACUAUGGCUCGUCCCGGUUUGUAUUGCUUUGUAUAAUCUUUAGUUGAACGCUAAGUAUAUUAUUAGAGGCUAGCUAAGAGAAUUUGGCUAGAUCUUUACAAGAUUAGUGAAUGUGAUUUUUUAAAGAAAUUGUGCCUGUUGCACAUCGAUAUUAUUGGCCUUGAUUCUUAAAGGUGGCUUGUUUAAACUUUCGACGGUUAAAGUUAAACUCUAUUUAAUAAAGAGAUAAUAUAACAUUUAGCUAAUGAUCUUGCAUUCUUGACUAAAUAUUUUCAGGCAACUUUUGAAGUUUUUGUGGGCACUGAUUUGCAGAGUGCUCGUGACCAACAGAUAAAAUGGCCCAAUCCAUAUUGCAAAUUUGCAAGCUGUCUUCCAAAACCAUCCAAAACCAAGGAAUUUCUAUUUGCAAGUCUAAUUAGGUAGAAAACCUUUCUGAAAAGUUUAGGAGCCAUUGUUAAUUUCAAUUG